rnacentral:rRNA from 1 species
CAGAGGGUGCGAGCGUUGUUCGGAAUUAUUGGGCGUAAAGCGCGUGUAGGCGGCUUAGUAAGUUGGGUGUGAAAGCCCUCGGCUUAACCGAGGAAGUGCGCCCAAAACUGCUUGGCUUGAGUACCGGAGAGGGUGGCGGAAUUCCCGGUGUAGAGGUGAAAUUCGUAGAUAUCGGGAGGAACACCAGCGGCGAAGGCGGCCACCUGGACGGAUACUGACGCUGAGACGCGAAAGCGUGGGGAGCAAACAGGAUUAGAUACCCUGGUAGUCCACGCUGUAAACGAUGAGCGCUAGGUGUUGCGGGUGUUGACCCCUGCAGUGCCGCAGCUAACGCAUUAAGCGCUCCGCCUGGGAAGUACGGCCGCAAGGCUA